UACGGGGGGAGCAAACGUUGUUCGGAAUCACUGGGCGUAAAGGGGGCGUAGGCGGCCAUGUAAGUGAGGUGUUAAAUCCCCCGGCUCAACCGGGGACCUGCACCUCAUACUGCACGGCUUGAGUACAUCAGAGGAGACUGGAAUUUACGGUGUAGCGGUGAAAUGCGUAGAUAUCAAGUGGAACACCAGUGGCGAAGGCGAGUCCCUGGACAACUCCUGACACUGAGGCACGAAAGCUAGGGGAGCAAACAGG
rnacentral:rRNA from 1 species